rnacentral:rRNA from 1 species
ACUCCUACGGGAGGCAGCAGUGGGGAAUAUUGCACAAUGGGGGAAACCCUGAUGCAGCCAUGCCGCGUGUGUGAAGAAGGCCUUCGGGUUGUAAAGCACUUUCAGUAGGGAGGAAGGUAGUGUAGUUAACACCUGCAUUAUUUGACGUUACCUACAGAAGAAGCACCGGCUAACUCCGUGCCAGCAGCCGCGGUAAUACGGAGGGUGCGAGCGUUAAUCGGAAUUACUGGGCGUAAAGCGCAUGCAGGCGGCCUGUUAAGUCAGAUGUGAAAGCCCGGGGCUUAACCUCGGAAUUGCAUUUGAAACUGGCAGGCUAGAGUCUUGUAGAGGGGGGUAGAAUUUCAGGUGUAGCGGUGAAAUGCGUAGAGAUCUGAAGGAAUACCAGUGGCG